GUAGGUGGCAAGCGUUGUCCGGAAUUAUUGGGCGUAAAGCGCGCGCAGGUGGUUCUUUAAGUCUGAUGUGAAAGCCCCCGGGCUCAACCGGGGAGGGUCAUUGGAAACUGGGGAACUUGAGUGCAGGAGAGGAAAGUGGAAUUCCACGUGUAGCGGUGAAAUGCGUAGAUAUGUGGAGGAACACCAGUGGCGAAGGCGACUUUCUGGCCUGUAACUGACACUGAGGCGCGGAAGCGUGGGGAGCAAACAGGAUUAGAUACCCUGGUAGUCCACGCCGUAAACGAUGAGUGCUAAGUGUUGGGGGGUUUCCGCCCCUCAGUGCUGCAGCUAACGCAUUAAGCACUCCGCCUGGGGAGUACGGCCGCAAAGACUG
rnacentral:rRNA from 1 species